CUCCUCCUCCCUCCCGCCCCGCAGGUCUGGCGCUUCGAGCGCACUCAGGCGGAGCUGCUGCUGUCCUUUCACCGCCAAACCGCCCGCCGCCAUAGAGCGGCCAUGGAGGAGGCGAAGAGGGAGCUGGGUGUGAAGGAGAGCUUUCUCCCGCCUGGCGAGGGGGCAGCAGGUGACCCCCUUCCUAUGGGAGCCUAUGGGAGGCUAUGGGGCACCACAUUGCCACUCAUCACCCCUCUGUGCUCCACACAGGAGCAGCACUCCCCGCCCCAUCGGGGUCACAUCCCCCGCACACACAGGUAAGCCCCCCCCCCCAGCACUCCCUUACGUGGGGGUUACCCUGACCCCUAACCCUGCCUGCACCUGCAGUGACCCCACAGCCCCGGCGGCAGCUCAGCUCCCAGGUGGUUAGGUAACAACAGCACAGACCUAUUAUACCCCAUUAUAGUCCAUUAUAACCCCAUUAUAUCCCAUAAUAACUCCAGUCUACCCCCAUUCUAACCCCUUCCCCCCCACAGCCGCUCAGCCCCGCAGGAGCCCCCCCCACUCCGCAAUACUCCCCUAUGGCACCUGGGCAGCACCUACAGGGUGGGGAGCACCCCCUCCGGAUCCAGCGUAGGCGAAAGGACCCCGAAUCUGCUGGAUUUCUACCCAAGCCUCCACGGCUCACACAGCCCCUGGCCAUAGAACACGCCCCUUUUGGCCAAGCCCCGCCCUUAUCUCCACAUAUGAUACUCAUUUCCCUAAACCCCUCCCCUCAUCUCCAUAUAUAACCCCCUUCCACUAAGCCCCGUCCCUUAUCUCCAGAAAUAGCACACUUCCGUAAGCCCAGCCUUCAUCUCCAUAUGUGGCCUCCCGCUAGGCCCCGUCCCUCAUCUGCGUAAUUCCUCCAGUCUGCUAAGCCCGGUCUCCAUCUCCAAAUGUGGCUUCCCUUAUCUAAGCCCCGCCCCUCAUGUCCAUAAUAGCCCCCCUUUCCGUUAAGCCCCGCCUCCUCCAUAUUUAGCCCAGCCCCUCUUUAAACUCCGAGUCAUGCCCUAACCCAUCAUAGCGGCCACGUUGCCGUGGUAACGGUCGCACCACGCCUCCCCCGGCUCCAUUUUGCGCUUCAAGAUGGUGCGGGCGGGUGUGGUGCGGGCUGGGGCCCCGCUCCCGUCCCGUUCCUUCCACCCGGAGCUCGCAGCGCCCCGGGACCCGGCCGGGCGCUCCCCGCCGGCACCGCCGUCCUCCUUCACCGGAAGCUGCCGCCGCUGCUGCUGCUAGGGCCUGGCAUCCACCUGCUUCAAAGCACCACCACCCUGGCCUUCAAGGCCUUUACAAAGUGGACAGCAACAGCACACACGUCCUGGGCACCACCUUUUCUGUGGGCUCGGGCUCACCUUAUGCCUAAUGGGUGCUGGACUGCAGUUACCACCUGGAGCUGGAGCUGUGCCCUGGUGUGCCGUGCCAUCUUCCAGGCCACACACCGCAAUGCCUGCUUGGCAGCUGCAUCUCCAUCUAGUAUGUGCGGGCCAACGGCUGGUGCUGCGUCUCCUGCGACAAUGUCACCAAACUGCAGGAGUGCUAUGGGCCAAAUGGGAUGGCAAUGAGUGAAGGAACAGCACAAAAACUGGCGGGGGGGUAGGGGGCGGGGGUGAAAACGGCCAAACUGGCCAUUUGUGGGCUGAAAACUGCUAACGCCUGGCAUUUUGGGGCUAAAAAUGGCUGUUUGUGAGCCAAAAUUGCCCGUUUUGGGCUGAAAAUGGCCGGUUUUUGAGCUAAACCCGGUCAAUUUGGGACUAAAAACAUCCGUUUGUGGGCUGAAAA